GCGAUAGUGCAGUGGUUAGCACGCACUCUCGGAAAGGGUGAGGCACGUGUUCAGCUCCCGCCGGCUACA